AUUGAACGCUGGCGGCAGGCUUAACACAUGCAAGUCGAGCGGGGGAAGGUAGCUUGCUACCGGACCUAGCGGCGGACGGGUGAGUAAUGCUUAGGAAUCUGCCUAUUAGUGGGGGACAACAUCUCGAAAGGGAUGCUAAUACCGCAUACGUCCUACGGGAGAAAGUAGGGGAUCUUCGGACCUUGCGCUAAUAGAUGAGCCUAAGUCGGAUUAGCUAGUUGGUGGGGUAAAGGCCUACCAAGGCGACGAUCUGUAGCGGGUCUGAGAGGAUGAUCCGCCACACUGGGACUGAGACACGGCCCAGACUCCUACGGGAGGCAGCAGUGGGGAAUAUUGGACAAUGGGGGGAACCCUGAUCCAGCCAUGCCGCGUGUGUGAAGAAGGCCUUAUGGUUGUAAAGCACUUUAAGCGAGGAGGAGGCUACUUUAGUUAAUACCUAGAGAUAGUGGACGUUACUCGCAGAAUAAGCACCGGCUAACUCUGUGCCAGCAGCCGCUGUAA
rnacentral:rRNA from 1 species